GCUCCCCGAGCCUUCCCAGCUUGCCAGGCCCGCUCUCUGUGUUCGUCUCGUAGCGAUGCCGAGGCGGGGACGGGUCACCUGAGGGGCCGCUCGCCUCCCCCCCUCACGCCCUCGCCUCCCGCGGGGGUCUCUCUGCUCUCUCUCCUCGCACUGGCGAAAUCAGGCAGCUCUCAAAAGCUUCUGUUUGCCGUGAAUGUUGUGUUAUUCCAUAGCUCGGCAUCCCGGAGGAACUUCUGCUCCUCCCAGGAGGCCUUGCCCAGGUCUGCCUUGCGGUUGUGUGGUGGGUUCUGAAAAAGGAAAAGAUGAGUGUGAUCUCCUGGCUCCUCUCUGGCAGCCCAAUAUUUGCAAAGGAUAUUGAGCUUGGGGAAACAACAGGGCUGUCAUACCUAGUAGGAUGAAGAGGCUAUGGAAACAAACAUGGACUGAUCCAGUGGCAUGCAGCUGUGAGGGAAGGACAUCCUGGUGGCUCUGCACAGCUUUACCUGGAUGCAUGUGAAAAGUCUUCAUUUGAAAGUUUGCUAAGCAACAAAUCCUUCAAAUAGAACAGGUUGCAACUCUGCUCUGCCCGAAAAGUACGCAUGCAUCUGCUGAUAUUGACUGAUACAGGACUGGCUUUUUGCAUGCAGAACACCAUUUAUUUCAAACUGGACCUAGACAAGUUCAGGGCCUGUCUCUGACUCGAUGCAUGCCAGAUUGUCCUUUAGGAUAUAACCCAGUGAGCAGGAGGAAUGGGUUUGAACUUGGCAAAAUGGCAAUAAGCAUAAAGGAAGAAGCUGGAGAGCUGCUUCAUCAGUGCCAAUCCAUACUGUGGUUGGUCUCAUGAAAAGGAUCUUAUUGAUGAAUUACUACAGCUACCCUCCCAGCCAUGGAAGAAUAUCUCAUACAAAAAAAAUCUAUAGGGCUCCAGACUAAUCCUGUGGGGAGAGGAAAGUGCCUGUGGAGCUUGGCAAAAGUUGCUUGUCCUUUCCUCCUGAAGAUAUGGAUUUGUUCCUGGGUAGUGUGGGAGGUGGCUCCUCCUUCCUGCAUUUGUAGCCACCAUGGAAACAGAUAAUUCCAGAAGACGGUCUAAUAAUGCAAUUGCAGACCCAAAUUACAGAGGUCUAAGACUCUCUCUCCUGACACUAAAUUGUACAUGCAUCUCCUGACAGCUAAAUUGUACACACAUGUGCAAGCAGUGUCACAAGCCUGCUCAGAAAUGCCCCAAACCAAGUUAGACAGAGACUCCAAGGGCUGAACAGCAUGAGAACGUGCCAAGGGCCAAGAAAGACAAAAAAGCACAAAGAGAUUCAAAGUUUAGCUCAUAGAAAGUGUGAAAUUAUAUUGUCAAUGUCAGGCCGUGAAACAAAGGAGGCAUUCUGUUGUUGAAUUUCAUGUUGCAGGCCCCUGUAAACAUGCAGUACAGAAAGUAUUGAAGAUGCUGUGCAAGGCAGGUGUGUAAAAAGGAUGAGCAAACAGAGGAGGAUCGUGAGCAAGGAAAAAUUGAGAAGAAAGUUUUUGAAAGACGAAGAGGUCAGAAUAGAGCCUGGUGGCACAAAAGCUGAUAGGGAAGAAAAGGGGCAUGACAGCAGAAUGAAGGCUGACAGAAAGCACAGCCAUUAAUUUAAUUUGCUGCUUUUCAUUGGAAAUGUAUCCUUUUGCCAGUUCUGGGUGCCAUGCACACGUGUAAGAACAUACAAGCUUUUCAGCUUGCCAGGGUGAAACUGCCUUCCGGAACUCUGGUGUCAAAGGCACCUACAAGACCAAAUGAAACAACCUUCAGUAUGAAAUCAAUGUCAGUGUUCAAUAACAUCCGGUGCCAGCCCAGCUGGGUGAGUAUGUGCCAGAGCAUUUGGAUGGUAAUUGGCUGAUGAAUCGAACUCUUAAGCAAACAGAUACCUAGGCAAAGAGCAGAGCAGCCAAAUUCCAGGGAGCACUGCCCUGCUAUCUCCACUGUGUUGCAAAAUCCGUCAGGUGAGUCAGAGGGAGAAGACAGCCCCGGGCAGUACCUGCAGGGAGUACUCUGACCCCUACUUUUGCAAACCUUGUGUUUCUGGGCCCUUUUCAAGUGUGCUUCCAGGCAGGACUCUGCCCUGAUGUCUGUGAGGAGGUGAACCAAGGUCUGCAGCAGGAACAAAGGGUUCAUUUGCUGAAAGGAGAUGAGUGCUGCGAGCAGGACAUCAGGAGAGAGCACCCUCAAAGCCCAACCUCCUGUUGCAGAGUUGUGGUCCAGAGUCUGAGCUGUCAUUAUAAAAACAAACAGGCCAGAUCCUCAGCUGGCACAGAGCCACAGAAACUCAGCAUAGUAGCUCGAGUUGCAUGUUCUUUAUUGCUUGGGGCACUAAAGAUUAUGACUGAAAAGAUGCCCAGGAUGUCACAGAUGAAGUAAAGUGUACCGAAUUUACCAGCAGCCUUAAGUAAAAGCCUAAGUUGCUUAAUUUAUCCUUGGAAUCAUUUUAGCAGUGAUCUUUUUUUACCUUUCUUGUGGGUGCUGUCAUAAAUGGCCUGUGGGAAGAGUGGAAUUGUCAUAUCUGGACAUUUUCAAGAAUAUCACUAUUGAGAUUCAAAUAGAUGCAGCUGAAGCAGAGGAACUUGAGUAGAUCAUCUCCUGGAGUCUCUUCCAGCCUUCUUUUUUGCAUGAUUUUAGCAAAUCUGUUCAGUUGCUGCCCUAAGCUGGCAAUACCACCCUGCUUCCAGAGGCUUGUGUCCCAGAAACUCCAGCUCCCAAACCCCUCUACUUCCUCCAUGGCUACUCAUAUAAUAUAAAAUGUGGUUUUGUCAGUUUUGCAAAAUAUUGUGUAAUCAAGAUCUGAACUGUGGCAACAGUGUGAAGUAAAACAGAAAGAUAUCAAAGUUAA